rnacentral:rRNA from 1 species
UGGGGAAUUUUGCACAAUGGAGGAAACUCUGAUGCAGCGACGCCGCGUGAGUGAUGAAGAUCUUCGGAUUGUAAAACUCUGUCCUUAGUGAAGAUAAUGACGGUACCAUAAGAAAAAGCCCCGGCUAACUACGUGCCAGCAGCCGCGGUAAUACGUAGGGGGCUAGCGUUGUCCGGAAUCACUGGGCGUAAAGGGUUCGCAGGCGGAAAUGCAAGUCAGGUGUAAAAGGCAGUAGCUUAACUACUGUAAGCAUUUGAAACUGCAUAUCUUGAGAAGAGUAGAGGUAAGUGGAAUUUUUAGUGUAGCGGUGAAAUGCGUAGAUAUUAAAAAGAAUACCGGUGGCGAAGGCGACUUACUGGGCUCAUUCUGACGCUGAGGAACGAAAGCGUGGGUAGCAAACAGG